rnacentral:rRNA from 1 species
AGAGACCGAUAGCGAACAAGUAUCGUGAGGGAGAGAUGAAAAGAACUUUGAAAAGAGAGUUAAAAAGUACGUGAAAUUGUUGAAAGGGAAACGAUUGAAGUCAGUCAUGCUAGCGAGGAAUCAACUUGGUGGUGUGAGUCUCUCAUCUCCUCCGUGUGCACUUCCUCGUCUGGCAGGUUAGCAUCAAUUUUGAUUGUCAUCAAA